GGGGGGUCGGGCAGCUGCACCUGGCGUUCCACGCAUGCGUGGCGGCGCGGCGAUCCACCCUCGUACCCUCUCGCGACGGUGGACGGUGUUUUGGUCGGGGAGAUCAGUCGCUUGUGUUCCGUUCGUCCGUUACCAUGUGCCGAGCGGUGUGUGUUCUGUUCUGUGUCGCCGUGAUCGGUGUUUUCGGUGCCGACGAGAGUAUCGAGGAUGUGGUGCGCGUGUUGCAGAAGCAAAUGACGAAGCUUUUAACUCGGCGUCAGGAGGAUUUAAAGUUGUUGGAGUCGUCGCUCAGGCAUAGUUUGGAGAAAAAUUUCGAGCUGUCGGAUCUUCGUAGUGAAGUGCAAAAAUUGAGGCGAGAUGUGAUCGACGCCGGAGGUUACCAGCCGUCGGAUCUGCUCCGCGGAGGGAACCGCGAGAAGAACGAUCACCUGACGAUCCAAUGGCUGGCAGGUAUCAUUUCCGAGAUCCGCGGUGAGGUCACCGAGCUGGCCGCCUCCCUCAACUCAUCAGCCGAGUAUCAGAAGCGUCAGUCCCUCUCCACCGACAUCGAGAUCCUCCAGAGGGAUGUUCAGAGUCUUCGCGCCGACCUGGAAAAUCUCAAAGCUGUUCAGACCAUCAAUUCGGCCAAGCUCAGUGAGCUGGACCAGGAGGUCGAAACCGCCAAAACCCAAAGCCUCAACGCUGUUACCGUCUGCUCAGAGAUGGGCGCCGGGUUCAAGUUUUAAAAUCAGCUCGUAUACGUUUCAGAAGAUAGCUGCAGUCCUCGGCGGAGUGGUCAAAACAUAAUGAUGGCGCGCUCAAAAUUACAAGGUAACCAUUGCACCGCAGCUGUCAUUUCCUGUAGGCUGUCUACUCAAUGCACCUUUCUUGUCUUCCCUUCUCCCCGUCUUAUUAUUGUUUCUGUUCUCUGUAGCCCAUUUCUAACCCCUAUCAUUUCAUUGACUUACAUUUAGUCAUGUAACUUUCGUUUUAUCCUUACAUCGUCACAUUCCGGUCACAGUAUCACAGGCGACAUGCGACGU
rnacentral:lncRNA from 1 species